GGAAUAUUGCACAAUGGGCGAAAGCCUGAUGCAGCAACGCCGCGUGAGGGAUGACGGCCUUCGGGUUGUAAACCUCUUUUAGUAGGGAAGAAGCGAAAGUGACGGUACCUGCAGAAAAAGCACCGGCUAACUACGUGCCAGCAGCCGCGGUAAUACGUAGGGUGCAAGCGUUGUCCGGAAUUAUUGGGCGUAAAGAGCUCGUAGGCGGUUUGUCGCGUCUGCUGUGAAAUCUGGGGGCUCAACCCCCAGCCUGCAGUGGGUACGGGCAGACUAGAGUGCGGUAGGGGAGAUUGGAAUUCCUGGUGUAGCGGUGGAAUGCGCAGAUAUCAGGAGGAACACCGAUGGCGAAGGCAGAUCUCUGGGCCGUAACUGACGCUGAGGAGCGAAAGCAUGGGGAGCGAACAGGAUUAGAUACCCCGG
rnacentral:rRNA from 1 species